GCCUCACUGAACGAAUUUAGAAGACUGUCGUUUGUAGAUUGGAAAUAAUGAUGACAGAUAUUAACUGAAUUAUUUAUAUGGCAGAUGAUUCGUCGAAGAUUCCGUCACGUUGAUAUAUAAAACGGCAAACCUCUUGGAAGAUAACAAACCAGAAGGGAGUAUUUAUACAACUACUACGCUUCGAAAUACGACAUUCAGUUGUUAUAUUUGCCGUCAUUUAGGCACGUGCAUGGCUUUUAUGAUUUUAGGAGGCUUAUGAGAAAAACGCGCUGAAUUAAUGUUCUUUUCAACACUACUGUUGUCCCUCUCUCAGCCGUACUUGACUACAUUGUGGCUGCUCAAAGUUUUGGACCAUGGCGCAGACAAACAAUUCUGGGCAAAGCACCAGUGGAGUAGCAGACGAAUCCCCCAACAUGCUUGUCUACAGAAAGAUGGAAAAUGUAAUAGCACGCAUGCAGGAUGAAAAAAGCGGAAUUCCGAUCCGCACAGUGAAAAGUUUUUUAUCCAAGAUCCCCAGUGUUUUCUCAGGUUCGGAUAUUGUCCAAUGGAUGAUGAAAAACCUGGGUAUCGAAGAUCAAGUGGAGGCUCUCCAUCUCGGCACAUUAAUGGCUGCGCAUGGCUACUUCUUCCCCAUCUCAGACCAUGUCCUCACACUAAAGGACGAUGGAACGUUCUACAGGUUCCAGACUCCCUACUUCUGGCCCUCUAACUGCUGGGAACCAGAGAACACAGAUUAUGCUGUUUACCUCUGCAAAAGAACCAUGCAAAACAAAGCUCGUCUGGAACUGGCCGACUAUGAAGCUGAGAGCUUGGCAAGAUUACAAAGGGCAUUCGCUCGCAAAUGGGAAUUCAUAUUUAUGCAAGCAGAAGCACAAGCAAAAGUUGAUAAAAAAAGAGAUAAGAUUGAGAGGAAAAUACUUGACAGUCAAGAAAGAGCUUUUUGGGAUGUGCACAGACCAGUGCCCGGGUGUGUAAACACCACUGAAGUGGACAUAAAGAAGUCCUCCAGAAUGAAAAAUCCACACAAAACCCGGAAGUCGGUGUAUGGGCUGCAGAAUGACAUCCGUAGCCAUAGCCCCACCCAAAUCCCCACCCCCGAGGCUCGGCAGCCAACGGAAGAGGAGUUACAGGGUCAGAUCAAAUUUUGGCAAGCGCAAUUAGACAGGCAUCGUUUGAAAAUGUCCAAAGUUGCAGAAAGUUUACUGGGGUACACAGAACAGUACGUUGAGUACGACCACUUUCUCACGCCACCAGAUCCCUCCAAUCCCUGGAUCUCUGAUGACACCACUGUGUGGGAGCUGGAGGCCAGUAAGGAGCCCAGUCAGCAGAGGGUGAAGAGGUGGGCUUUCGGGAUCAACGAGGUGCUGAAAGACCAAAUAGGCAGAGAGCAGUUCCUCAAGUUCUUGGAGUCUGAGUUCAGCUCGGAAAACUUAAGGUUCUGGUUGGCGGUCCAGGGGCUGAAGAAAAGGCCGAUCCGGGAGGUUCCCACCCGGGUCCAGGAGAUCUGGCAGGAGUUCCUGGCUCCCGGGGCUCCCAGUGCCAUUAAUGUGGACUCAAAGAGCUAUGACAAAACCACUCAGAAUGUGAAGGACCCUGGGCGCUAUGCAUUUGAGGAUGCUCAGGAGCACAUCUACAAACUGAUGAAGAGCGAUUCGUACAGUCGCUUCAUCCGAUCAAGUGCCUACCAGGAGCUGCUACAGGCCAAGAAGAAGUUGGGAAACAUUCAGGAUCGCAGAACUUCAUUUGAGAAAUUCACUCGUAGCGUGGUAAGUGGACGAGCCCUGUCUUGUCUGCUGAUCUGAGAUCAGUCUGUGAAAGUAGCCGGUACUGUGGUAAGUGGAUGCAGCCCUGUCUGGUCCGCUGAUCUCAGAUCAGUCCGAGGUGGUAAUCCCAGGCCCAUCCUGUUCUCUUCCAGGUCCCACCUAACGCUUCUUCUUCCCGCCUCACCUGUGUUUCUGUGUCACCUUGCCUCCGCUUUGCUGAUCUUACUGUGCUACACCUCUUUCCUCUCAACCUUCCAGCCUACAGUUAUGCAGAAUUGUUACAUUUUUUCCACAAUAAAUUUAUUAAGCAGACAAUCAGUUUGUGUCUUAUGUAAUUAAGUAAGUGCAUAUAGUAUCUUCUGAAUGACCCUAGCCUUAAUCCUUUCUUUACCUCAGCAUACUUGAAUCUAUGCUUUCUUAGCAUAGUAUAGUAUAGUAUAUAAUUAUCAUAGAUUAAUGUUGUGUGAUGUAUUUAGUGUGCCUAUUAUUUUUCAUUCAAUACAGGGAAUGCAUUUUUUAUAUUAUGGAUACACACAUACUUGGAAACAUUUAUACAAAAUAUGAAUUUGAUUUUUUAUUUUUAUUAUGAAAGUUAAAAUCUUUUAAGAAUUCAAUUAGAACAGCACAGAAUUCAUUUUGGUUGUUAUUUUUUUUUUGUUAUAUGACUUAUUCCAUUGUUAAUAAAAUCCAAAAUUAAAUUAAAUCUGCCCAUACUUUGAAUAGUUUUAAGAGACAAUUGAAGAUUUGGUUCUCAGUAAAAUAUCAGGGAAACUUCUAUUUUAGAAAAGCUUGUAUUGUUGUGUAUGUGUUGAAUUUGUGUUGGUUUUAUAAUGUGUAAUGAGUAGCCUGUACAUGCCACACCCUUUUCCUGCCUGCCUUCUAGCCAAGUCUUCAGGACCGCAAUGGAAAUAAGUAAUGUGACUACAUUGCGAUAUUCUGAUAGAUAAAGUGCCAUAUGCAUUUCUGUGCAUUGUAUUUUAAUUUAUCAAAUAAUCUCAGCAAAUUAAUCAGUACCAGGCAAAGAACCAACAAAACGGGAAGGGGUUUGGUAAAUUUAACUGCAUGAUGGCCAGUGGUAGUUUUGCAUGGAUCCCAUUUUGGUCACAAGAGCCAAAAUGUCCUCCCUUAUGUGCACUUUCUCCUUGUCCACAGAAAAGUAAGAACUUGUUUUGAAGGAUUUUACUUCCAGGGGAAAUCGCUGACUUCAAAGAGGUUCAGCAGUCUAGUGCAGACCUGCUGAAAUGCAGUCACGCUAUAGCUCGGGAAACGGACGCUGCCAUUUAAAAAAAGUAUUUUACAGAACAUUUUCAUAGUCUAUUCUUCACCCAGAAGGAAGAUCAGAUGUUGCAUGUCUGAAGAACCAAGUUUUGAUUAUUUUUCUUUCAUUGUUUGGAAAGGCAUGUUUAACUCAUGGAUAAAGGGACAUUAAACAUACUAAUGCCUUCAAAGAAGGUAAUUGUCCCAAUCAUUUCCUGACAUAUCAAACGGGGGGGAUGGGGGGGG